CCCUUAGAUGUUCUGGGCUGCACGCGCGCUACACUGAUGCAUGCAACGAGUUUUCGACCUUGCCUGAAAAGGUUGGGUAAUCUGUUUAACAUGUGUCGUGAUGGGGAUAGACCAUUGCAAUUAUUGAUCUUCAACGAGGAAUUCCUAGUAAGCGCGAGUCAUCAGCUCGUGCUGAUUAUGUCCCUGCCCUUUGUACACACCGCCCGUCGCUCCUACCGAUCGAAGAGUUAGGUGAAUUGUUUUGAUCGAUAAGAUUUGACUAUGGUCAACUCUCGUUGUGAAAUUCUGUGAAUCUGACUGUUUAGAGGAAGGAAAAGUCGUAACA
rnacentral:rRNA from 1 species